rnacentral:rRNA from 1 species
GAGACAGCAGUAGCCGCGGUAAUGCGUAGGGGGCAAGCGUUAUCCGGAAUAACUGGGCGUAAAGGGUGCGCAGGUGGUUUAACAAGUUAGUGGUGAAAGGCAUAGGCUCAACCAAUGUAAGCCAUUAAAACUGUUUAACUUGAGUGCAGGAGAGGAAAGUGGAAUUCCUAGUGUAGCGGUGAAAUGCGUAGAUAUUAAGAGGAAUACCAGCGACGAAGGCGACUUUCUGGACUGCAACUGACACUGAGGCACGAAAGCGUGGGGAGCAAACAGGAUUAGAUACCCCUGUAGUCCCUGUCUCUUAUACA